rnacentral:rRNA from 1 species
AACGAACGCUGGCGGCAUGCCUAACACGUGCAAGUCGAACGAGACCUUCGGUCUAGUGGCGCACGGGUGCGUAACGCGUGGGAAUCUGCCCUUGGGUUCGGAAUAACUCGCCGAAAGGCAUGCUAAUACCGGAUGAUGUCGUGAGACCAAAGAUUUAUCGACCAGGGAUGAGCCCGCGUAAGAUUAGGUAGUUGGUGAGGUAAAGGCUCACCAAGCCGACGAUCUUUAGCUGGUCUGAGAGGAUGAUCAGCCACACUGGGACUGAGACACGGCCCAG